rnacentral:lncRNA from 1 species
UAUCCAUCAUCUUCUAACUGGAGGCCAUGGUUUGGGCUAGCACAGCAGACUCUCAUCAACUCAGAUCAUCGGCGACUACAUUUCCUCUCCUGGGGUGAUAAAUGAUUUCACGAUCAUAAUCCUUCAGAAGAUCAAUCCAGCAUAUUUGCCUCAUGUUUAACUCCCAUUAUGAAAAGAUGUAUUUGAGACUCUUAUCGUUACUGUAGAUUUCAAAAGUCU